rnacentral:misc_RNA from 1 species
AAAAAAAUAACUAAUUGUAUAGAUUCGCGGCUAAUUUGUGAGACGAAUCUUUUAAGUCUAAUUGCUCCAUGAUUUGAUAAUGUAGUGCUACAGUAAACAUUUGCUAAUGAUGGAUUAAUUAGGCUUAAUAAAUUCAUCUCGCGGUUUACUAGCGGAUUUCGUAUUUUUUUAUUAGUAUCC